GGUAACGUGGCCGAGUUGGUUAUGGGUAAGCUUAUCUUCCUGAUGGACGCAAGUCCGCGCGCGUUCGAAUCGCGUCGUUAUCA
rnacentral:tRNA from 1 species